rnacentral:rRNA from 1 species
GACAGAGGGUGCAAACGUUGUUCGGAAUUACUGGGCAUAAAGAGCACGUAGGUGGUGCGCUAAGUCACGUGUGAAAUCCUGGAGCUCAACUCCAGAACUGCCUUUGAUACUGGAGAGCUUGAGUCCGGAAGAGGUGAGUGGAACUCCGAGUGUAGAGGUGAAAUUCGUAGAUAUUCGGAAGAACACCAGUGGCGAAGGCGGCUCACUGGUCCGGUACUGACGCUGAUGUGCGAAAGCGUGGGGAGCAAACAGGG